rnacentral:tRNA from 1 species
ACUUUUAAAGGAAAACAGGCUAUCCACUGGUUUUAGGCACCAGCCCUCUUGGUGCAAUUCCAAGUAAAAGUA